ACCGAAUGCUUGCAUUCACCGUAAGAAGUUGAGUGGCGGACGGGUGAGUAACACGUGGGUAACCUGCCUAAAAGAAGGGGAUAACACUUGGAAACAGGUGCUAAUACCGUAUAUCUCUAAGGAUCGCAUGAUUCUUAGAUGAAAGAUGGUUCUGCUAUCGCUUUUAGAUGGACCCGCGGCGUAUUAACUAGUUGGUGGGGUAACGGCCUACCAAGGUGAUGAUACGUAGCCGAACUGAGAGGUUGAUCGGCCACAUUGGGACUGAGACACGGCCCAAACUCCUACGGGAGGCAGCAGUAGGGAAUCUUCCACAAUGGGCGCAAGUCUGAUGGAGCAACGCCGCGUGAGUGAAGAAGGUCUUCGGAUCGUAAAACUCUGUUGUUAGAGAAGAACACGAGUGAGAGUAACUGUUCAUUCGAUGACGGUAUCUAACCAGCAAGUCACGGCUAACUACGUGCCAGCAGCCGCGGUAAUACGUAGGUGGCAAGCGUUGUCCGGAUUUAUUGGGCGUAAAGGGAACGCAGGCGGUCUUUUAAGUCUGAUGUGAAAGCCUUCGGCUUAACCGGAGUAGUGCAUUGGAAACUGGAAGACUUGAGUGCAGAAGAGGAGAGUGGAACUCCAUGUGUAGCGGUGAAAUGCGUAGAUAUAUGGAAGAACACCAGUGGCGAAAGCGG
rnacentral:rRNA from 1 species